CUAUAGCUCUGUAGUUUUUGCAGAUUUUCAAAUAAAACUCACAGAUUCCUUGUAUGACUCUCUGAGAUCUCUCUUUUAUGGUAUUUCUGGAUCCUUACCAAGGCAGUAAUGGUAUAUGCCUUCUCUCAAAGUAUGUGGUAUUUUUGGUAUGAGGCAUAGUCGCAUUGCCUUCUCUCUCACCCUACUCUAAUAAGGUUUUGAUAUCUGGAGCUCAUAGGUGGGAGACAGCUAAUACAUACUUACAAGACAUUUAUUGCAUAGUCAAACCAUGGAUCCAGAAAAACAAGUCAAUAAGUCAAAUCAAGAUGUGCAUGUGUGGCGAAUGAAUGGUGUAUGGUGAUGAUGGUGAUAACAAUGGUGAAAGUCUAAUUCUACUUGUGCUCUUUUGAGGGGAUACAUACCUUUCUUGCUCUUUUGAAACUUUUUGAGGAGAAUGAGAUGCUCUAUUUUCUUUUUCUUUUCUCUCAGGUGGGUAUCUUGUACCCCUAAUUCUACUGUCGGACACUUGUCCAUUUUUACCUCUCGUCUCACUUUUUCUUUUCUUCGAGGUUCCGGGCACUUGCCCCUUUUUAUUUCCUCGUAUUCACUUUUUUCAGAGCACUCACCCUCCUGGAAUAAUGUAGCAAGUGGUAGUAACCAAAAUAUCUCGAGCAUUUAUUUCACGGGGAAUAACAGGGAUAGGAUAAUGUUUUUGGCUAUUCUCUCCUGGAUAGGAGUAGAAUAAUUUUGGGUGAAUCUGG
rnacentral:lncRNA from 1 species